rnacentral:lncRNA from 1 species
CCCUGGUCACUGUCUCUGGCCCUGAUCCUGACCUGGACUUGCGGCUCUGCAUCCCAGCUCCUUGUUGCUGAGGUCACCACUGGCACCUGCCCUGCUACCACACUCUGCUCCUGGCUCACCUUCUUUUGCGGAGCAGCCAGCCCUCGCUGCUACCUGACAACUGUUGAGCACAACUUAUCCAGGACUGUCUGCAAAGGUCUCCUGUUAGUCUCUGCAACCAUCUGUUAUUCUGUUUCAGCAGUCCAAAACAUCAAACAGACUUUUUUUUUUAAGCAGUUGCCAAUUUCACUGAAAGAGAAGGACCUCAUGAAGAAGAGGAGAACAGAAUAA